rnacentral:tRNA from 1 species
GGUAAUAUGGCUGAGAUUAAGCGAUAAAUUGUAAAUUUAUUUACGGGUUUAGACUCUGUUACCA